rnacentral:rRNA from 1 species
GACGAACGCUGGCGGCGUGCUUAACACAUGCAAGUCGAACGGUGAAGCUCCAGCUUGCUGGAGUGGAUCAGUGGCGAACGGGUGAGUAACACGUGAGUAACCUGCCCCUGACUCUGGAAUAAGCGCUGGAAACGGCGUCUAAUACUGGAUACGAGAAGGGCCCGCAUGGGCACUUUCUGGAAAGUUUUUCGGUUGGGGAUGGGCUCGCGGCCUAUCAGCUUGUUGGUGAGGUAAUGGCUCACCAAGGCGACGACGGGUAGCCGGCCUGAGAGGGCGACCGGCCACACUGGGACUGAGACACGGCCCAGACUCCUACGGGAGGCAGCAGUGGGGAAUAUUGCACAAUGGGCGAAAGCCUGAUGCAGCGACGCCGCGUGAGGGAUGACGGCCUUCGGGUUGUAAACCUCUUUCAGCAGGGAAGAAGCGAGAGUGACGGUACCUGCAGAAGAAGCACCGGCUAACUACGUG